CUCCCUCACAGCCAAGAUUUCCUCUUGCCCCGCCUCAAGGGCGCUCACCUCCGGGGAAGCCUCCCCGCACCGCACGCGCCUUGGCUCGCUUCUUCCAGCCGCAGAAGCAGCGCCCUACGCGGGGUCCCCGGAAGACUCCGCCAGCCCCGCCCCCAGACAGGCCCCGCCCCAUCGAUCUGGCCCCGCCUCGUCCCCCCCAACCCGCCGCCCAGGCCAGCAGCCUGCGGUAUGAGUGACAAAUUGCCUCCAAAAGGUCUGAAAGGCUGCAGACAGAGCGAUGGAACCGCCUUCCUGCUCAACCCCAACUCCACUGUGGACCAGCUGCCGAGAUGGAGGCCCUGCGAGGAGUGGAGGGGGCAAGGUCUGCGGGGGCGCCCCAGGGAGCGCUGAAAGCUGGGAUCCCAGCAGCCAAAAGACUUCCCUUUGUGUCGGUGGAACCAAGAGCGCGUGGGCAAACUUGGUUAAUGACUCUGUUUACCCUGCCUUGUCCUGGUGGCCCCGCAAGACCUGCAGGGGCCUGGCACACCACAGGAGCAAGAGUGCUGGGAAUAGGUAGGGGAGGGAGGAACAUUCCAGGCUGUAAGGCCUCCCCAGGGUCAUCUAAAGCCCUUUCCCCUGGCGGACACCUGGCUUUGGAUACCAUUUCCAUUCACCGGGUUCCAAGGAUUCAUGUGCGGCCUGGAAGAACCCUUAGAUCCUGGGCUCAUUGAGGGAGAUGACAGCUUCCACUUGAAUGACCAGGACAGCUUAGGGCCUUCUUACAGCUUGGCCCUUGAAAUGGGCUUUCAUGAUCUUUCUCCCACGUGGCAGGGGAGGGGCUGGUGAGCAAACCCUUGGCUGAUCAGGGCCAAGAGCAGUCCCUUGCUUUUCGUCCGUUAAAAUCCAGAUUAGUACACACCCUCAGGGCACUACAAGAUGCUUCCAGGUAAAGCCCUCUUAGAGGUGCUGGUCGCUCUCCUGUUUAAACUUCCAAUCACUUCCCCAUUCACUGAGAUUAGCAUCCAGAAUGCAGACCAAGGCCCUGGCAGCUUCUCCAGGUUUGCCCCACUAACCCUCACCUCUCACGCUCCAGCCUCCCCCCGCUGCCUUUCACUUGCUUUUGGUGCUAACACACGCUGCUCCUUCUUCCUGGGAUGCCCCUUCCCCAUGACUUUGCGUGGUCCACCUAUCCAUUCUCGAAUCUCCUUUCCUCAAAUGGCACCUCUUCAAGGAGAAGUUCCUUCUCCCCUCUAUCUAAAGCAUGCUCCUCCUGUAAUUCUUUCUCCUUGUAUCCUGUUCUUUCUCUUCAUAGCUCUCAUCUCCAUUUGUAAUUUUGUAUAUUACCUUUAUUGUGGUUCCUGGUUCAAGGUCAGUAUUCCCUCGAUACAUAAUAGACUUAACAGAUUCUAAGCUUCAUGAGAGGGAGAGCUGUGUCUGAUCUGUAUCAUUUGAAAUCCAGCAUCUGAUAAGUGUCUCCCAAUAAACAUUUGUUGGCGAAUGAAUGAACAAAUGAAUAAUAUUAGCACUCUUCAUUUGAAAGGACAAAGU